AAAAAGGCAAACCCUGGGUUUCCGUGUCCAACUUUGACAGUCCAUCUUAUAAUUCGUAUUUUCAUUGUUGUUAGAUGAUAAAACAUGAUUAAUAUUUUAUGCGUGACUUGUCCUUUUAUUUUUUUCAUAAUUUUUUCAAAUAAGACGGACGGUCAAACAUUGGGCACGGAAACCAGGGUUUAUCUUUUU
rnacentral:pre_miRNA from 1 species